rnacentral:lncRNA from 1 species
GAUUCUGCAGGCACUGGCUACCAUGUUUUGUGCUGUCUUAUGGAGAGGCCAAAGUGGCAAGGAGCUGAGGAUGGUCUCUGGCCAACAGCCCAUGAGGACCUGAAUCUUGACAACAACCAUGUGAAUGAGCUUAGGAAUGGACCCUUCCUCAUUUGAUCUUUCUGAUGAGACCAUAGCACUGAUCAGUUUCUUCAUGGCAGCAUCAUUAAGAUACUGAUGAUGGAACUGAGGUCUUCAGCUAAGCUAUGCCAGAGCUGUGAAAUAAUAUGCAUGCAUUGCUUUAAGAUGCUAAGUGUUGGGACUGGGGAUUUAGCUCAGUGGUUCCGCCGCCUGCCUCACAAGCACAAGGACCUGAGUUCGAUCCCUGGUACCAAAAAAAAAAAGAUGCUAAGUGUUGGGAUCAUUUGAUAAGUAAUAGCCCAAAUAUAGGUGUCCUUUGAUAUACAAUGGGAUCACAUCCCUAUAAGCCCAUCUCACAUUGAAAAUCAUCUCACACUGAAAUCAUCAGUGAGAAGUGCAUUGAAUCCAACUAAUCUCCCAACAUCCCGCUUCACAGCACAGCACACCAGAGAGUCAACUGUUUCUCCUCAUGAUUGAAGGGCUGACAGGGAUCUGUGUUUUCUGCCACUGACUAGCAUCAUAGAGAGUCUAGCGUGGAACAUUGCCAGCCUGGGAAAAAAAAAUAAAUUUCAAAGUUGGAAAUAUGAUUGCUACUGAAGGUACAGUACUUUUGCAUCACCUUGAAGUUGAAACCAUGGGAUAGAUAUCUUUCAGAAAUUCCCGGAUUCCUGUAGUGGCCAGUUGGUUCCAGAAGACGUGAGGAGGACACAAUAUAAGUGCCAAACAAAUCAUCUUGGCUGAAAGGACAGUGAACCAGGAGGCAAACAAUGCCACCAAGUUCUAGCUGUGUGCUGGGUACCAAACAGCAGGUGCCAGGACAAAAUUUUGGCAUCAAAAUAUGUCGAGUACCAAAUUUGAUGACUUUCAGAGAAGUUGAGGACCAAGGGACAACUCUACUAAGAUGAGCAAAAUGAAUAGCCCCAUCCCUACUGCUUUUCCACUUACUAUAGAUGAUGCUAUCUUUAUG